rnacentral:rRNA from 1 species
AACGAACGCUGGCGGCAUGCCUAACACAUGCAAGUCGAACGAAGGCUUCGGCCUUAGUGGCGCACGGGUGCGUAACGCGUGGGAAUCUGCCCUUGGGUUCGGGAUAACAGUGAGAAAUUACUGCUAAUACCGGAUGAUGACUUCGGUCCAAAGAUUUAUCGCCCAGGGAUGAGCCCGCGUUGGAUUAGCUAGUUGGUGGGGUAAAGGCCUACCAAGGCGACGAUCCAUAGCUGGUCUGAGAGGAUGAUCAGCCACACUGGGACUGAGACACGGCCCAGACUCCUACGGGAGGCAGCAGUGGGGAAUAUUGGACAAUGGGCGAAAGCCUGAUCCAGCAAUGCCGCGUGAGUGAUGAAGGCCUUAGGGUUGUAAAGCUCUUUUACCCGGGAAGAUAAUGACUGUACCGGGAGAAUAAGCUCCGGCUAACUCCGUGCCAGCAGCCGCAGUAA